rnacentral:lncRNA from 1 species
AGCAUAUGCUUGCCCUUUGUUCAUGCUAGAUGACCCAUUGCGCCGAUGGCACAAAGGGCAAGAGUGAACCAAGCAUUCAAACCGUGCAAGUAAGAAUAUUUAGAGAUCAAUCAUAAAAUCUUGAAGCAUAAGGGAAAAUAUUUAGGUACGUUCAUACAUAGCAUUAUAUAGUCUGAACUAAUCACAUGGUAACAAUGAGCAUAAGAGAGGCAUAGGAAACACACAACUGAGCCUGAAAACAAAGGACACAUCUUACUGGUUGUGUGUAUAUCAGAACAUAAAACCAUACACAUUUUCACACCCACACAUACUGUCAGCAAAACAAGGAAUGUUAGCUGCUCCUGAAUUAUCUGCAAAACAUACGGAAGAUGAACAGGACAAUCUGACAGGACAUAAAAUCAGAUCUCAAGCUUCUCGACAAAGAAAGCUAAUUUCCUACCGCCUGCCAGUAAUGUUACAUCGUUACUUGGUUAUCGCCAUACAAAUCAGUGUAGUUAAGAAUGCUCAAAGGUUGCAGGCUACAGAUAAAACCUUCUCAAAAUAGGCUUUCACCCCGCUUUAUUUAUAAAGCAAACAUCCAUACAACCAGGCCAAAGUAGCCAAGCAACUAAGAUGGCCGGGGCAAGAACACGACCAUGCGCAAAGAAAGCAAAAAAGAAAUAGAGAAAAAAGCCGUCGAGUGGCAAUAGGCAUAGCAGCACUAUGAAGAGGAGAGACGGCAGUACAGAUAAAACCCUCUCUGAGAAAAGCAUGAGGCAGCAAUGACCAUAUGAAAGGUAAAAACCUACCCGGGCAAACACGACGUUGCAUCUCCGAAUAGGAAGUGACGCACCAAGCAAAAACUCCCUUUGCAGAGACAACGACACAUCCUUAAGUUAGUUCUGCACCCCUCAUCAGCAUGAAAGCAACAACUCCAGAUUUGUUGUAAUUUCACCAACCUGAGACAAAAAUCGCAAAAAAUUAUCUAAAGGUCCUAAAUAAACGUGUUAAACAUCUGUGUGUAUUUAUAUCGGUCUAACCUAUAGAUUUAGCACAUCACGAUGGAUAAUUGGAUAGACUGCCAUUACCUUGUCAACAUGCUUCCAUAAGCAUGUAGUUGUUUAAAUUCGGAAAGUGUAUGAUACAACAAACGUGGAUUGGGUUAUUUAUACGGACAGGAUAAUAUAUAGUUUGAUGCAUAUUCCUAACCAAAGCCUACACACUAUCUGAUUCUAAGUGUCCACAUCCAUUUAUGCCGACCAAUUUUUUGUUUUGCCAAUCAGUGUGUGAGUGAAACUUGUUUAUCAGGAUAUUAACAUUCCCAUUCAAGUUCACAGAAUUUUACAAAGGAUAGUUUAAGUUUAGUAGUAUCAAUAUUGGGUGAGAGAGAUACCCGGGAUAGAUGACAUCAGCGAGAUACCCAAGAUCUCCAGACCAUAGCCAAGAUGGUAAGAUGACAUCACUGAGUCAU